GGAUGGGUGGCAGAGCGGUCGAAUGCGGCGGUCUUGAAAACCGUUGUGGGGGCAACUUCACCGGGGGUUCGAAUCCCUCCCCAUCCGCCA
rnacentral:tRNA from 1 species